ACCGUCCUAACGUUAUUCGGAAUCACUGGGCUUAAAGGGCGCGUAGGCGGCCCUGCAAGUCGGGGGUGAAAUCCCACAGCUUAACUGUGGAAGUGCCUCCGAUACUGCGGGGCUCGAGCGAGGUAGGGGCAGCUGGAACUUCCGGUGGAGCGGUGAAAUGCGUUGAUAUCGGAAGGAACGCCGGUGGCGAAAGCGAGCUGCUGGACCUCUUCUGACGCUGAGGCGCGAAAGCCAGGGGAGCAAACGGG
rnacentral:rRNA from 1 species